rnacentral:rRNA from 1 species
GACGAACGCUGGCGGCGUGCCUAAUACAUGCAAGUAGAACGCACAGUUUAUACCGUAGCUUGCUACACCAUAGACUGUGAGUUGCGAACGGGUGAGUAACGCGUAGGUAACCUGCCUGGUAGCGGGGGAUAACUAUUGGAAACGAUAGCUAAUACCGCAUAAUAUUAAUUAUUGCAUGGUAAUUGAUUGAAAGAUGCAACUGCAUCACUACCAGCUGGACCUGUGUUGUAUUAGCUAGUAGGGGAGGUAACGGCCCACCUAGGCGACGAUCCAUAGCCGACCUGAGAGGGUGAGCCGCCACACCGGGAAUGGGACACGGCCCCGACUCCUACGGGAGGCAGCAGUAGGGAAUCUUCGGCAAUGGACGAAAGGCUGACCGAGCAACGCCGCGGGAGUGAAGAAGGUUCUCGGAUCGUAAAGCUUUGUUGUAAGAGAAGAACGGGUGUGAGAGUGGAAAGUGCACACUGUGACGGUACCUUACCAGAAAGGGACGGCUAACUACGUG